GGGUCCAAGGAUCGACGCUGGUCGGCGAGGUUUCGCCCACCGGCGUGUUUGUC
rnacentral:sRNA from 1 species